UAGCUAACCUGAGGCUCUGCUAAGAUUGCCAAUUUUGGUUGGACAUAUUCCUGGAGAUUGAAUCACAUCACAUAAUGUUUAAUUAAAGACUAAUCUUUAAUCUCUGGAGACCCCAGGCCAAUCCUGGAGGGUUGGCAACCCAACCAGCUGCACUUUCUUUGGUGGG